rnacentral:sRNA from 1 species
AUCUCUUGGUACAUGAGUGGCUACCACACUGGCUACUAUAUGAUAAUCCCGCCACCCCCUCCCAUCUCUCCCGACUGUCUGGAUGACACUGAUGCCCUGGGCAGUAUGCUAAUCUCUUGGUACAUGAGUGGCUACCACACUGGCUACUAUAUGAUAAUCCCGCCACCCCCUCCCAUCUCUCCCGACUGUCUGGAUGACAC